rnacentral:rRNA from 1 species
GAAGCCGGAAUUGCUAGUAAUGGCAGGUCAGCAUACUGCCGUGAAUACGUUCCCGGGCCUUGUACACACCGCCCGUCACACCAUGGGAGUUGGGGAUACCCGAAGCCUGUGAGCCAACUAUAUAGAGGCAGCAGUCGAAGGUAGAAUCAAUGAUUGGGGUGAAGUCGUAACAAGGUACC